AUGGUUCUCCUUCCAAAAACCCAAGCGCCAACAUCCCCUGACGCAUUUAGACCCAUCUCUCUACAAAACUGCACGCCAAAAGUAGUUGCCAAAGUCCUCACAAGUAGAGUUAAACCUCUCCUCCCACUGCUCAUACAUUAUGAUCAGACGGGCUUCCUACAUGGACGUAACAUUGCUGAAAAUUUUAUCUAUGUUGCUGAUAUUCUCAGUGCGUGCCACACACGUAAAGCCCCGACCAUGGUCUUCAAGCUCGACUUCAGGAAAGCCUUUGACUCCAUAUGCUGGUCCUCCCUCAUACAAAUCUUACAAGCCCGCGGUUUUCCCUCCAUUUUCUGCUCUUGGGUACAAAAUAUCCUUCUCACUAGGAAAACAACUAUUCUUUUAAAUGGCGUUUCGGGGUCCUGGAUUCAAUGUAGAUGUGGCCUCCGCCAAGGUGACCCCUUCUCGCCGUACUUGUUCAUCAUCGUUGCUGACAUCCUUCAACGACUAAUCGCCAAAGCAUUCCAAACCAACGUUAUUUGCCACCCGUCACGGCCGAACGAACCACCCGUGACACUUCAAUAUGCUGAUGACACCCUGAUAAUUGCUGCUGCUAGCGACGCCGCCACCAUAAUUCUCAAAAAUUCCCUUCACGAUUUUGCCCUUGCAACGGGGCUAGUCAUCAACUUUCAAAAAACAGCUCUUCUCACCAUAGCCACCGACGCUUCCAUGCAAAACAACAUUGCCGCAUCUAUUGGUUGCUCCUUAUCUUCCUUUCCGCUAAUUUAUCUAGGUCUACCCCUCUCCCCCACUAAACUGCCUUUCACAGCCUUUAACCCGAUCAUAGAUAGCUAUAGGAAAUUCCUGUUUGGUUGGGUGGCCCGCCUGCUCUCUCAUGGGGCACGGCUCACCCUUCUAACUGCGGUCCUAGACUCCUUAACUGUUUAUUUCAUGUCCAACUUUCGCCUACCUAAGUGGAUCUUAGCCAAACUUGACGCCAUUUGA
rnacentral:rRNA from 1 species